AACGAACGCUGGCGGCAGGCUUAACACAUGCAAGUCGAACGCCCCGCAAGGGGAGUGGGAGACGGGUGAGUAACGCGUGGGAAUCUACCUAGUUCUACGGAACAACACAGGGAAACUUGUGCUAAUACCGUAUACGCCCUACGGGGGAAAGAUUUAUCGGAAUUAGAUGAGCCCGCGUUGGAUUAGCUAGUUGGUGGGGUAAUGGCCUACCAAGGCGACGAUCCAUAGCUGGUCUGAGAGGAUGAUCAGCCACACUGGGACUGAGACACGGCCCAGACUCCUACGGGAGGCAGCAGUGGGGAAUAUUGGACAAUGGGCGAAAGCCUGAUCCAGCCAUGCCGCGUGAGUGAUGAAGGCCUUAGGGUUGUAAAGCUCUUUCAGUAGGGAAGAUAAUGACGGUACCUACAGAAGAAGCCCCGGCUAACUUCGUGCCAGCAGCCGCCGUAAGAC
rnacentral:rRNA from 1 species